UACAGAGGUCUCAAGCGUUUGUUCGGAUUCAUUGGGCGUAAAGGGCUCGUAGGCGGUUUGUCGCGUCGGGAGUGAAAACACCGGGCUUAACUCGGUGCUUGCUUUCGAUACGGGCAGACUAGAGGUAUGCAGGGGAGAACGGAAUUCCCGGUGUAGCGGUGAAAUGCGCAGAUAUCAGGAGGAACAGCCGGUGGCGAAGGCGGGUCUCUGGGCCGAUACUGACGCUGAGGAGCGAAAGCAUGGGUAGCGAACAGG
rnacentral:rRNA from 1 species